ensembl:processed_transcript 8430429K09Rik RIKEN cDNA 8430429K09 gene
GGUCUUUCCGUAGGGUUUCCUAGCGCUGGAAGGAGGGAAGGCAGCUCGGUGGAUGGGCGAGCUCGCCUCGCCCGCGUGAGGACGUGGGAAUAAAUAUGUGCGUACCCGCCAGCUAAUCAUAGCAUUCAUUCGGGUGAUGGGUCAGAAUUUCAAUGUCGUUUUCGAAGCAGGCUUGGGAUACAUGGGACCGUGUCGCAAAAAUAAUGGGCGGAUGAAAAAGCCAGUUCUAGAAAUACCAGUUUGGAAUGCCUUGUACAAGAAAGUAAGUCUGCAUGGAGGCCUCUGGAACACGGAGCGCAGAACCCCAGCCAUGGGGGUGGGAAUUCUCUCUUCAGAGGCUCCACCAGAAGCUCAGGGAUGGGCAACACCAAUGGUGAUCAAAGCGGACAGCACUCCAGUCAGGGCUACACAGUGGGAACCGGCGACCGCUGUGUCCACUCCGAACGUCCCGCAGCCGGAAGGACUCAACUGCUUUCUUAAUCCAAAGUCCCAAAGUCCACAUUCUGCUCACAAGCAGCAAGCCCGGAGCUCAGAGGAGCUUGGUCCCAACAUCCAUAGUCAUAGUUUUUCUUACACAUAAUGUAUAAGACCUCACGUGGAACCUGCAUCAAUAUGAUGAAGGGACUGAAGUUCCAGCAGGCCAUGUGUCCUUAAAAUUCCUGCCAGAUGAGGCCCGGAGCCUGCCCACAUCCAAACUGAACGACCUGUGGCUUCCUGAGUUACUCCACCUCCUGGCUGGACAGCAUGCUUCAGAGGAGACCUGUGAUAAAAGCAGAAGAUUUUCCUGAAAAAGAGAAGACUUACGGUGAAAUUCUUGAGGCAUUCCAUCCAGGGCAUUGAAGUUUUCAAAAGGCUUGCUGCUGCUCACCACGACAGGAAUAUUUUCUGAAUUUUAUGGGCUAUCUUUCUGUGACAGUUGAAGUUUAGGUUAAUAUGUUAACACCUGAAAUUAAAAUAGUUAUUGU